rnacentral:rRNA from 1 species
GACGAACGCUGGCGGCGUGCUUAACACAUGCAAGUCGAACGGAAAGGCCCUGCUUUUGUUGGGUGCUCGAGUGGCGCACGGGUGUGUAACACGUGUGUAACCUGCCCUUGACUUUGGGAUAACUUCAGGAAACUCGGGCUAAUACCGGAUAGGAUCUCCUGCUGCAUGGUGGUGGUUGGUAAGUUUCGGCGGUUGGGGAUGGACUCGCGGCUUAUCCGCUUGUUGGUGGGGUAGUGGCUUACCAAGGCUUUGACGGGUAGCCUGCCUGAGAGGGGUACCGGGGACAAGGGGACUGAGAGACGGACCAGAAUCGAACGGGAGGCAGCAGGGGGGAAGAUUGCAGAAUGGGAGGAAGCCUGAUGCAGAAACGCCGGGAGCGGGAAGACGGGCUUCGGGUGGUAAACAGAUGUAGACGGUGACGAAGCGUGAGUGACGGUAAUGGGUAAAGAAGCACCGGCUAACUACGUG